AAGCAGAGAUCCGCACAUGACAUUUGCUGUUUGUAAACCAAGCCCUUACCCAGUAAAUCAUAUUUAAGGGUUGCUGUGGCUCUCAAGGUAUAGCAUUUGGUAGCGAUCUGAUUGAUUCCAUGUGAGCUCCUUUGUCCGCUGAAGGAUUCUUAAAGUAGAAAAAGCAAGUGCAAUGGUUGAAGAAGAGGUCUUUUCUCCAAGGGGUGAAAUGCAAGCAAAAGAGGGAAGAAGCAAGCUAUAGCGAGAAGGGAGUUAUUCAGCAUGCUAGUAGAAAUAAAAUAACAACUAAUCAUGUGAAACACAGAAUUCGAUCAUGGUUUGAUUAUGCUUCACACAAAACUGUCAUAAAGUGAUGAAGCACUGCAAGAACCAUCAUAAAUCCAUGUCUGAUUAGCUUUCGACUAUUAGGAUAUACAUUUUGAUGUCACUUAGGACACGAUCAGAUGAUGUUAGAGAGUUUUUCUUUGUAAAGGAUUUCAAAUAUCCUGAAUGGGAAGUCUAUGCUUCAGUUUGACUAAGUCCAUUUUUUGUGUGAUGAGUUAAAUUUGAAUGACAUUAUUGGAAUUGAUUUCUUGGUUCUCC